rnacentral:rRNA from 1 species
CCUACGGGGGGCAGCAGUGAGGAAUAUUUGUCAAUGGACGAGAGUCUGAACCAGCCAAGUAGCGUGAAGGAUGACUGCCCUAUGGGUUGUAAACUUCUUUUAUAUGGGAAUAAAAUGUUCCACGUGUGGGAUUUUGUAUGUACCAUAUGAAUAAGGAUCGGCUAACUCCGUGCCAGCAGCCGCGGUAAUACGGAGGAUCCGAGCUUUAUCCGGAUUUAUUGGGUUUAAAGUGAGCGUAGGUGGAUUGUUAAGUCAGUUGUGAAAGUUUGCGGCUCAACCGUAAAAUUGCAGUUGAAACUGGCAGUCGUGAGUACAGUAGAGGUGGGCGGAAUUCGUGGUGUAGCGGUGAAAUGCUUAGAGAUCACGAAGAACUCCGAUUGCGAAGGCAGCUCACUGGACUGCAACUGACACUGAGGCUCGAAAGUGUGGGUAUCAAACAGGAUUAGAUACCCUUGUAGUC